rnacentral:rRNA from 1 species
GACGAACGCUGGCGGCGUGCUUAACACAUGCAAGUCGAACGGUAAGGCCCUUCGGGGUACACGAGUGGCGAACGGGUGAGUAACACGUGGGUGAUUUGCCCUGCACUUCGGGAUAAGCCUGGGAAACUGGGUCUAAUGCCGGAUAGGACCACUGCCUGCAUGGGUGGUGGUGGAAAGCCUUUGCGGUGUGGGAUGGGCCCGCGGCCUAUCAGCUUGUUGGUGGGGUGAUGGCCGACCAAGGCGACGACGGGUAGCCGGCCUGAGAGGGUGACCGGCCACACUGGGACUGAGAUACGGCCCAGACACCUACGGGAGGCAGCAGUGGGGAAUAUUGCACAAUGGGCGCAAGCCUGAUGCAGCGACGCCGCGUGAGGGAUGACGGCCUUCGGGUUGUAAACCUCUUUCAGCACCGACGAAGCGCAAGUGACGGUAGGUGCAGAAGAAGGACCGGCCAACUACGUGCCAGCCGCCGCGGUAA